GGAAAGGCUGCAGUCACUCCCUGGGAAGGCGUGUGGAAGGCUGCAGAGACAAGUUGCCUAAAGUUAUUCCCUGGAAGGAGGGAGGGAAGAGACUGGCAAACUCAGAGGAGUGGGGAAGGCCAGGAGGUGAACUUUCAUCGAUGUCUGAGAGCUGUACAGAGACACAUCAGGAAAAGAUGUUGCCUUUGUAGCCUUUCGGGUCUCCUCCUCCACACCUGUGGAAUGCUUGAGCCAGAUAAGGAGGAGAAAGAGGGCUUGGAACGGCAUGUUCAAUGAGACCCUGCAAGCCAGUGCUGCAUCAGACUGUGAGCACAGAGUCUGGAGGGUGAACAUUGCAGACAGCCUGGAGAAGGAAAGAGUGGAGAAGAGAAAAGUCCCAGCAGGCACAGGAGAGGAAGAUGCACCAGGACAUAAUGGGGCUUCUCAGGCAGCGUAAACAGAUGCUGCAGAUUCUGGUGGACCUGCAUGUUCAACAAUCCCAGGCUCCCUUCCCUCUGCAGCCACUGAGAACUCAAUAUGGGGACCUCCCUAUACCUCCCCCUGAAACAUUCCACAGGGCAUCAGGAGUCAUUGCAGUAUUCCUGCCACUCCACCCCAGGGAACAUUAAAGACAAUCACAGCUUCACAUACACUGACCUGCGAAAGCCACGGUAGGUGUAUGUGUAUCAGAAAUGGACAUGAAUUUUCUUUCACAUAAGUUCUGCUCUCUUAAUGAAUUAAGUUUUUAAUGUAUUUGUUUUUAAAUUGCAAGGAUUUUUUUUGUACACUGAUUUUGUUACAGAACAAAAUUCUAUUAGGUGGAACAUAAUUCAUCUUUAUUAGUUCACAACAUAUGCUGCUGAGUACUCAGCAGUUCUGAAAAUAACCAAUUACUGCACAAUGUCAUAUAACUCAUAGGAUCGUUCACUAACAAAAUUAGCAGAUGCAUUGACAAUGUUAUAUUCCUACCUGUACCGCAACCACCACACGAUUCCUACCAGGCCACUAAAGAGCAAGGCCAGGUAGAGCAACAACAUACACAAUACUCUUGCUCACUGUUAAAAUGGUCUACAAUGAGCUCUUCUACUAGCCCUUGUAUCGGCUAGUCAAAUUCAGCAGGCAGCCUCUGCACCUCUACCCCAGUGGAAACUUUUCCCCAGUUGUUUCACAGAUAUUAUGCAUGACAAAGCAGGCAGCUAUAGCCGUUGGGAUAUUUUUCUCACUGAGGUCUAAUCUUGUGAGUAAACAAAGCAAGCAACCCU